AGUGAACGCUGGCGGUAGGCCUAACACAUGCAAGUCGAACAGCAGCACAGGAGAGCUUGCUCUCUGGGUGGCGAGUGGCGGACGGGUGAGGAAUACAUCGGAAUCUACUCUGUCGUGGGGGAUAACGUAGGGAAACUUACGCUAAUACCGCAUACGACCUACGGGUGAAAGCAGGGGACCUUCGGGCCUUGCGCGAUUGAAUGAGCCGAUGUCGGAUUAGCUAGUUGGCGGGGUAAAGGCCCACCAAGGCGACGAUCCGUAGCUGGUCUGAGAGGAUGAUCAGCCACACUGGUACUGGGACACGGUCCAGACUCCUACGGGUGGCAGCAGUGGGGAAUAUUGGACAAUGGGCGCAAGCCUGAUCCAGCCAUACCGCGUGGGUGAAGAAGGCCUUCGGGUUGUAAAGCCCUUUUGUUGGGAAAGAAAUCCAGCUGGCUAAUACCCGGUUGGGAUGGCGGUACCCAAAGAAUAAGCACCGGCUAACUUCGUGCCAGCAGCCGCCGUAA
rnacentral:rRNA from 1 species